UUUGAACGCUUGGCCUCCAUCCCCAAGGCUUCUCCUGGCAGCGUUCCUGGAGUCAAGUUUCCUUUCAUUUCACGAAUCACCCCAGGACUCGCUAAGCCAAUCGUAGCUCUUGAGACUUGGAGAGAGAUGGCUUUUUCUUUUUGUCCCUGCUGUACUCACCUCUCUGAGGGUCUCUUUCCUAGUUUCUUGGUGUAGAAAGAGGGUUUAGUAGGAGCUGGGAGAGCCAGAUUCAUCAUCUGGGAACACAGGCGAGAAUCUGCCUUCACCAUCCGCUGGGUCUUUAUCUGGAAGGCGGAAGGGCUCUAUCAGGGUUGGUGGAGAGCCUAGAGUCAGGAAUAAGGAAGCUGUGAAGCCCGAGAAGUAAAGAGUCUGCUGCCUCUUCUGGAGACUGUGGGAAGAAAAGGCUGUACCCAGGACUGGGUUCGCAAGUGGGGUGAAGGCCCUAACGCCCCUUUGAAAGCAUGUUUCUGCAAAGCCAGGACUCUUCCCCGUUCCCCGUGUGGGACUCUGGGGGAGAAGCCCGGUCUGGAACAAGAGACAAAGGAGGAGAGAGCAGCCCAACAUGGACCAGGCAAGUCCCACGUCAGUCAAGGCCCUGCUGUGUCGUCUCAUUUGAGGGUCAACCAGCUAGCCCUGGAGCCCACUGCACUGGACGGCAGGGGAGAAUGGAGGAGCCCUGCUGGGUCCACAGCUCCAGGAAGAGUGGGGGGUGAGGAACCGGGGCUCGAAUCCUAACCAAAGGGAACCAGUCCAGGAGUGUACUGGGAGUCGACAACAGUAGCUGGCAAGUGUUCAUCUGCACACGAACUCAGACACCUUCUUAUGGGGCAGAGGGUGGGGCCAGCAGUCCCACAGCCCUGAGGAGAACUCAAGGAAGGACCAAUAAAACUACUGAUUAAUAAGGACUAGGGUGCUCGGCGUUGGAUUGCAUUUCUCCCUGCACGUGGAAGCUGUAUAGAUAGAAUAUUUAAGCCUGACAUUCUAUGUUUCUUUUUUUUUUUUAAAUUGCGUUUUAUUUAUUUGUUUAUAUUGGUAGAGGGGUCAUGACAUAGCAUACAUGCAGAGGUCAGAGGGCAACCUGCAGGCUUCAGUUCCCUCCUUCUACCACAUGGGUGCCAGGGAUAGAGCUCAGACCAUCAGGCACGUUGCAAAGUGCCUUGACCUGCGGAGUCAUCUAGCUGACCCCAAUACACUCAUUUCAGUCAAAGAAAAAUCAGCUCUGUUUUUUCAUUUUUGUCUUUUCUUUGUGUGUGUAUGUGUGUGCGCACACAUGUGUGUGCGCACAUGUGUGUGCAGGUGCAUUGGAGGCCAUAGGUCACCUUUGAGUGUUGUUCUUCGGGAACCACCUACCCUGGUUUUCUUGUUGCUCGUGGUGGUCAUUGUGUUCUUGAGAUGGGGUCUCCUAUGCCGCCCUACCUGGCCUGCAACUUGCUAUGUAGACCAGGCUGGCCUCAAUGAACAGAGUUCCACCUGCCUCUGCCUCCAGAGUGCUGGGAUUCCACCUACCAUGUUUGUAAGAAAGGGUCUCUUAGCGGCUUAAGCUGGGCAAUGAGGUGUCGGCUGCUGGCCAGCAUGUCUGAAGGAUCCAUAUGCCUCUGCCUCCCCAGUACUUGGGAUUACAGGCAGCUGCUACCACUCCUGUUUUAUUUAGGUUCUGCGGAUCAAACACAGGUCCUCAUGCUUGCACAGGAGGCAUUUUCCCAACUGAGCUAUUUUCCCAGAGCAAAGCAGCCUUUCCUACGUCAGGCCCAGGGAUACCUAUCAUUUUUUUAGCUUUUCUUUUUCUUUCUUUCUUUCUUUCUUUCUUUCUUUCUUUCUUUCUUUCUUUCUUUCUUUCUUUCUUUUUCUUUUCUUUUCUUUUCCCUUCUUCUUCUUCUUCUUCUUCUUCUUCUUCUUCUUCUUCUUCUUCUUCUUCUUCUUCUUCUUCUUCUUCUUCUCCUUCUUCUCCUUCUUCUCCUUCUUCUUCUUGUUAACAUUCUUGGUUCUAGCUGCCAACCUAGGUAGCUCCUGGGCUUCUGUGCCCCUUUGGAACUUGAGAGUUUCUCUUCUACCAGCAACAACAAACACAGAAAGGGAGGAAAGUCUGCUGUCAUUGUGCUGAAGGGAGGCAUGGAACUUCUUGCACGCACAAAUAAAGACAUGUGAUCGUGAACAUUUAUCACAGGACAGGCUAUGUGGGGAAAGUACCAGGAAGUCAGUCAUUUAGCGGAGACAUUCCAGCCGGGAAAGGGACCCAAACUCCGUGAACUGUCACCUAGAAGCCUGGGGUCUUAGACCCUUCUUAAUGAGCCAUGCGUUUUCCCAGCUGCAAAGCGGUUCCUUGACUGACACACAAAAAAUUAUUACGGGAAACUGGGGUAUGCCCAAAUAAGUCAAGCUCUAAAAAAAAGUCACACACCAUGGAAAAAUGAGCCCUACAUAUAAUCCCAAUUUUUCCAUUAACAAAUAUAUUUUUGAAUAGAUGUAUUGACCUAAGAUAUUCUGGAACUACACAUGGUGGCGCAUGCCUUUAAUCCCAGCACUCGGGAGGCAGAGCCAGGAGGAUCUCUGUGAGUUCGAGGCCAGCCUGGGCUACAUGGCCUCUCCAAGGGGGCUGGGAAAUGUUGACGAACGAGUUGAGGUUGGAUCAGGUGCCAGGCUCCGGUGCAUUUGCUUCCUGGUUCGCCACAUCCCUGGCAUUUUGCGGUGGAGGACAGAGAAGAGUGGAGAGGAUGUGGGCUUUCUCACAAAAUGGUGUGAAAUCGGAGGCUCCACAGCUCCGAGGAGCGCGGUAGAACGGGGUUCCCUCUCCCCAGCCCCAUCCUUCGCAGCAGAACCUCUGCCGGGCCCUCCUUCCCUCUGUCCCAUCGAAUGUUCUUUUCUGCAGACAGCGCCCUGCCCCAGAGGCUGCCUGAUCCGUUGAUUGAUGUGCGGCGCUCACAGGAAACCCUUGCUCCCUUCAGGUAACACGGUUGACCUUUAAAGGUCAGAUCGUCAAGUUUCCGAGCCAGGAAGGGGGUUACACCACACCAGGCCGAUUUCCCUGAGUCUGUCUCUGCUCCUCCUUCCUCAGCCCCGGGGAGCCAGGCUUCCAGAGUUCUGCCCAUGCAAAGUAGAUAAGCGAAACUUAUUUGCAUUUUGUCCUCAAGCAAAUGCCAUACCUGCCGGACGUUGGAUAACUCCCAAUCACCCCCCACACCACCACCCCCCUUUUGUCUCAACACGGAAAGACUGAAGUCAUGAUUAAAGCUGUCGCGCUAUGGGCAGAGUGGAGGUGGACACAUGACUUGAAAGUUUCCAGGUUCUUCUGUUCCAAAAAGUUGUACCAGGCACACAGGGAAAGGUAGCAGAAAGAAACCACUGAUCAAGAAAGGCAGACCAGUCCCGACAACCGGAGUGGGUUAAACUAGCUAUGCUCAAAGGGAACCCCCUCCCCUAGAGGGCUUUUGAGCCCUCAUAGGCCAUUUGCAUAGCACCCAACUCUCUCUCUCCUUUGUGUAUUGGGCUUUUCCCAUGCCACUCUGCUUGUUCUGCAGCUCAGCUGAGGAGGAGUUCCCAGCAUUGUGCCAGCUGGCUUCCUUUAUAUGUUAAUUUUUUUCCUUUUUCUUAAAAUAUAUAUAUAUAUAUAUAUAUAUAUAUAUAUAUAUAUAUAU